AUUGGAUUUCUGACAAGAACCAGAUUUAUGACUUCCAGCACAAACCACAGGUGAGGUGCGAAGGAAACAAAAGGAAAUACUUCUCCACAUUACGCAAAUUCGAAACUCCUUAUGGACAUUGUGAAAGGCAGCACAUAAGCAAGGCCUGAGAUUGCUCACUUGGUGGAG